AUUGAUUCUGGCUCAGAUUGAACGCUGGCGGGAUGCUUUACACAUGCAAGUCCGAACGGCAGCACGGACUUCGAUGCAGUUUGGCGAGUGGCGAACGGGUGAGUAAUGUAUCGGAACAUGCCUAAAGUAGCGGGGGAUAACUACGCGAAAGCGUAGCUAAUACCGCAUACGCCCUUCGAAGGGGAAAGCAGGGACCUUCGGGCCUCGCACUAUUAGAGCGGCCGAUAUCGGAUUAGCUAGUUGGUGGAGUAACGGCUCACCAAGGCGACGAUCCGUAGCUGGUUUGAGAGGACGACCAGCCACGCUGGGACUGAGACACGGCCCAGGCUCCUACGGGAGGCAGCAGUGGGGAAUUUUGGACAAUGGGGAAACCUGAUCCAGCCAUCCCGCGUGGCUGAUGAAGAAGGCCUUCGGGUUGUAAAGCACUUUUGGCAGGAAAGAAACGGCACGGGAUAAUACCCCGUGCAACUGACGGUACCUGCAGAAUAAGCACCGGCUAACUACGUGCCAGCAGCCGCGGUAAUACCGUAGGUGCAAGCGUUAAUCGGAAUUACUGGGCGUAGCGUGCGCAGGCGGUUCGGAAGAAAAGAUGUGAAAUCCCAGGCUUAACUUUUUGGAACUGCAUUUUUAACUACGAGCUGUAGUGUCAGAGGAGGUGGAAUUCCCGCGAUGUAGCAGUGAAAUGCGUAGAUAUACCCGGAGGAACACCGAUGGCGAAGGCAGCCUCUGGGAUAACACUGGCGCUCAUGCACGAAAGCGUGGGAGCAAACAGGAUUAGAUACCCUGGUAGUCCGCCCCUAAACGAUGUCAACUAGCUGUUGGGGCCUUCGGGCCUUGUGGCCCGCAGCUAACGCGUGGUUGACCGCCUGGGAAAUACGGUCGCAGAUUAAAACUCAAGGGAAUUGACGGGGACCCGCACAAGCGGUGGAUGAUGUGGAUUAAUUCGAUACAACGCGAAAAACCUUACCUACCCUUGACGUGUGGAAUCCCGAAAGAGAGAUUUGGGAGUGCUCAUAGAAGAGAACCGGAACACAGGUGCUGCAUGGCUGUCGUCAGCUCGUGUCGUGAGAUGUUGGGUUAAAAUCCGCAACGAGCGCAACCCUUGUCAUUAGUUGCUACGAAAGGGCACUCUAAUGAGACUGCCGGUGACAAACCGGAGGAAGGUGGGGAUGACGUCAAGUCCUCAUGGCCCUUAUGGGUAGGGCUUCACACGUCAUACAAUGGUCGGGGACAGAGGGUCGCCAGCCCGCGAGGGGAGCCAAUCCCAGGAAACCCGAUCGUAGUCCGGAUCGCAGUCUGCAACUCAUUGCGUGAAGUCGGAGAUCGCUAGUAAUCGCGGAUAAGCAUGUCGCGGUGAAUACGUUCCCGGGUCUUUUCCGCCGUCACACCAUGGG
rnacentral:rRNA from 1 species